UGUAACGACUCUCGGCAACGGAUAUCUCGGCUCUCGCAUCGAUGAAGAACGUAGCGAAAUGCGAUACUUGGUGUGAAUUGCAGAAUCCCGUGAACCAUCGAGUCUUUGAACGCAAGUUGCGCCCGAAGCCUUCCGGCCGAGGGCACGUCUGCCUGGGCGUCACGC
rnacentral:rRNA from 1 species